rnacentral:tRNA from 1 species
AGAUGAAUGACUGAGUGGUUUAAAGUAUCAAUUUUGAAAAUUGACAUAAGGAAUCUUAUCGUAGGUUCGAAUCCUACUUCAUCUAC